UGAACAGUUGAACUGUUACAGUUACAGUUUAAACAGAUACAGUCAAUGGUGUUGAAGUGUAGUCCUGAUUUGGGUCCAUGGGCUCCACACUGAAGGGGUCAGAGAGUCCUGGUCCAUCUCCAUCCAGAACAGGCAGAACCACAGGCUCAGGGUCCUGGUUGCAGACUGUGAUGGACAUCUUGAUGGUGGGAGGAUGGUCGUUUGCGUCAUCGAGCUCAAUGACCAGUGUCCCAGUGCCUGUGGCAGGAAUAUCAUCAUCUACAGUACAGGGGAAAAAAGAAAACAGAAAGGAAAUAAAUAAAUUGAGGACAUGUUUGUCAGUGCCUGCAGGCAGAUCCUCUGGUUUGGAGAUGAUCCUCUCACCUGGUCGGAAGACAGGGGCCUCAUUCUCAUCCUUCACUCUCACUGUCACUGACGCU